rnacentral:rRNA from 1 species
CCUACGGGCGGCAGCAGUGGGGAAUAUUGCACAAUGGGCGCAAGCCUGAUGCAGCCAUGCCGCGUGUGUGAAGAAGGCCUUCGGGUUGUAAAGCAUUUUCAGCGGGGAGGAAGGCGGUGAGGUUAAUAACCUCAUCGAUUGACGUUACCCGCAGAAGAAGCACCGGCUAACUCCGUGCCAGCAGCCGCGGUAAUACGGAGGGUGCAAGCGUUAAUCGGAAUUACUGGGCGUAAAGCGCACGCAGGCGGUCUGUCAAGUCGGAUGUGAAAUCCCCGGGCUCAACCUGGGAACUGCAUUCGAAACUGGCAGGCUAGAGUCUUGUAGAGGGGGGUAGAAUUCCAGGUGUAGCGGUGAAAUGCGUAGAGAUCUGGAGGAAUACCGGUGGCGAAGGCGGCCCCCUGGACAAAGACUGACGCUCAGGUGCGAAAGCGUGGGGAGCAAACAGGAUUAGAUACCCUUGUAGUC